rnacentral:rRNA from 1 species
AUUGAACGCUGGCGGCAUGCUUUACACAUGCAAGUCGAACGGUAACAGGCCGCAAGGUGCUGACGAGUGGCGAACGGGUGAGUAAUGCAUCGGAACGUGCCCAGUCGUGUGGGAUAACGCAGCGAAAGCUGUGCUAAUACCGCAUACGAUCUAUGGAUGAAAGCGGGGGACCGUAAGGCCUCGCGCGAUUGGAGCGGCCGAUGUCAGAUUAGCUAGUUGGUGGGGUAAAGGCCCACCAAGGCGACGAUCUGUAGCUGGUCUGAGAGGACGACCAGCCACACUGGGACUGAGACACGGCCCAGACUCCUACGGGAGGCAGCAGUGGGGAAUUUUGGACAAUGGGCGCAAGCCUGAUCCAGCAAUGCCGCGUGCAGGAAGAAGGCCUUCGGGUUGUAAACUGCUUUUGUACGGAACGAAACGGUCUGGGUUAAUACCCUGGGCUAAUGACGGUACCGUAAGAAUAAGCACCGGCUAACUACGUGCCAGCCGCCGCGGUAA